UGAGGAAUAUUGCACAAUGGGCGCAAGCCUGAUGCAGCGACGCCGCGUGUGGGAUGAAGGGGCUACGCCUCGUAAACCACUGUAGCCCGGGACGAAAAACGCCUUAGAGGCGUUAGACGGUACCGGGAAAGUAAGGGUCGGCUAACUACGUGCCAGCAGCCGCGGUAAUACGUAGGAACCAAGCGUUGUCCGGAUUUACUGGGGGUAAAGGGUGCGCAGGCGGAUGGGUAAGUCAUGGGUGAAAGUCUGCAGCUUAACUGUAGAAUUGCCUUUGAGACUGCUCAUCGUGAGUGUGGGAGAGGUCGAUGGAAUUCCAGGUGUAGCAGGGAAAUGCGUAGAUAUCUGGAAGAACACCAGUGGCGAAGGCGGUCAACUGGCCCAUAACUGACGCUCAUGCACGAAAGCGUGGGGAGCAAACA
rnacentral:rRNA from 1 species